GACGAACGCUGGCGGCGUGCUUAACACAUGCAAGUCGAGCGGUAAGGCCCUUUCGGGGGUACACGAGCGGCGAACGGGUGGGUAACACGUGGGUGACCUGCCCUCAGCUCUGGGAUAAGCCUGGGAAACUGGGUCUAAUACUGGAUAUGACUCCACGGUGCAUGUCGUGGGGUGGAAAGCCUUGUGCGGCUGAGGAUGGGCCCGCGGCCUAUCAGCUUGUUGGUGGGGUGAUGGCCUACCAAGGCGACGACGGGUAGCCGGCCUGAGAGGGCGACCGGCCACACUGGGACUGAGACACGGCCCAGACUCCUACGGGAGGCAGCAGUGGGGAAUCUUGCGCAAUGGGCGAAAGCCUGACGCAGCGACGCCGCGUGAGGGAUGACGGCCU
rnacentral:rRNA from 1 species